rnacentral:rRNA from 1 species
GACGAACGCUGGCGGCGUGCCUAAUACAUGCAAGUAGAACGCACAGUUUAUACCGUAGCUUGCUACACCAUAGACUGUGAGUUGCGAACGGGUGAGUAACGCGUAGGUAACCUGCCUGGUAGCGGGGGAUAACUAUUGGAAACGAUAGCUAAUACCGCAUAAUAUUAAUUAUUGCAUGAUAAUUGAUUGAAAGAUGCAACUGCAUCACUACCAGAUGGACCUGCGUUGUAUUAGCUAGUAGGUGAGGUAACGGCUCACCUAGGCGACGAUACAUAGCCGACCUGAGAGGGUGAUCGGCCCCACUGGGACUGAGACACGGCCCAGACUCCUAAGGGAGGCAGCAGUAGGGAAUCUUCGGCAAUGGACGAAAGUCUGACCGAGCAAAGCCGCGUGAGUGAAGAAGGUUUUCGGAUCGUAAAGCUCUGUUGUAAGAGAAGAACGGGUGUGAGAGUGGAAAGUUCACACUGUGACGGUAUCUUACCAGAAAGGGACGGCUAACUACGUG